GUUCCGCGAGAGUUAAGGCUGUCCGAUCAAUCCAUAUUAUCGCUAACAUAAAAUGUGGAAAUUUAACAACUGGAUUGGCAAAUGGUGUUGAUGGAUUAGACCGAAUGAAAAUUGGCCUGUCUUGAAGCGUACUGUCUGUUGUUUUAUCGCUGCCUAAUCGACAAGCUGGAAAGUUUAACUAACUGGCAUUGUGGAUGGUUUGAUGGGUGUCUACCGGGCAACCGGAAAUUCUUGCGCAAACCCCAUAAGAGAAAAUUAACAAUGGAUGUGCCGGUACGCGAUUCACCUGGCGUUCCGGUGUGGUGGAUUGGCGGAGCGGAUCGGGAGCGGUAUAAAUCGAUCAUCGCUCUAACUAUGAACUGGAAGCAAUCCGGCCGGUAUGUGUGUAUUGUGUGUGAGCAUGAGAAAUGGGUAAUAAAUGGUAAGCGAUUGAUAUAAAUGGGGCUAAUGCAGUUUGUAUGCUGUUACUGCAAAAGUUAGUUGUUUAUAUUCUAUUCCGUGUAUGUGGAUUGAAGUGUUGUGCAUGCUGACGCACAUUGGAUGGUGUAAAAUCUAAUGGGAGAACGUAUGCAUUAAGCGCUGGGGCUGGUGUGUAUUAUCCUAGUUUCCAUUUCCGGGAGAGGGACUCCCAGAGAGGAGAGAGAAGUCCUCUGUUUGCCUACCUGUGUUGGAGCAUUUUAAGUGGUGCAUAGGUAAGUUCCUUGGAUUGACGAGUAAACAGUGUGUGAGCAUGAAUUGGCGGUACAUUGAAUUAUGUUUUAUUGGUUGGGAUGUGUGCACUGUUUUCCACGAUGCAUAUGCCAAC